CUAUACAUGCAAGUCGAGCGGACAGAAGGGAGCUUGCUCCCGGAUGUUAGCGGCGGACGGGUGAGUAACACGUGGGUAACCUGCCUGUAAGACUGGGAUAACUCCGGGAAACCGGAGCUAAUACCGGAUAGUUCCUUGAACCGCAUGGUUCAAGGAUGAAAGACGGUUUCGGCUGUCACUUACAGAUGGACCCGCGGCGCAUUAGCUAGUUGGUGAGGUAACGGCUCACCAAGGCGACGAUGCGUAGCCGACCUGAGAGGGUGAUCGGCCACACUGGGACUGAGACACGGCCCAGACUCCUACGGGAGGCAGCAGUAGGGAAUCUUCCGCAAUGGACGAAAGUCUGACGGAGCAACGCCGCGUGAGUGAUGAAGGUUUUCGGAUCGUAAAGCUCUGUUGUUAGGGAAGAACAAGUGCAAGAGUAACUGCUUGCACCUUGACGGUACCUAACCAGAAAGCCACGGCUAACUACGUGCCAGCAGCCGCGGUAAUACGUAGGUGGCAAGCGUUGUCCGGAAUUAUUGGGCGUAAAGGGCUCGCAGGCGGUUUCUUAAGUCUGAUGUGAAAGCCCCCGGCUCAACCGGGGAGGGUCAUUGGAAACUGGGAAACUUGAGUGCAGAAGAGGAGAGUGGAAUUCCACGUGUAGCGGUGAAAUGCGUAGAGAUGUGGAGGAACACCAGUGGCGAAGGCGACUCUCUGGUCUGUAACUGACGCUGAGGAGCGA
rnacentral:rRNA from 1 species